rnacentral:tRNA from 1 species
GGUAAAAUGGCUGAGAUUAAGCGGUGGAUUGUAGCUCCAUGUACAGAGGUGAGAGUCCUCUUUUUGCCA